CUACGGGAGGCUCCAGUGGGGAAUAUUGCACAAUGGGCGCAAGCCUGAUGCAGCCAUGCCGCGUGUAUGAAGAAGGCCUUCGGGUUGUAAAGUACUUUCAGCGGGGAGGAAGGGAGUAAAGUUAAUACCUUUGCUCAUUGACGUUACCCGCAGAAGAAGCACCGGCUAACACCGUGCCAGCAGCCGCGGUAAUACGGAGGGUGCAAGCGUUAAUCGGAAUUACUGGGCGUAAAGCGCACGCAGGCGGUUUGUUAAGUCAAAUGUGAAAUCCCCGGGCUCAACCUGGGAACUGCAUCUGAUACUGGCAAGCUUGAGUCUCGUAGAGGGGGGUAGAAUUCCAGGUGUAGCGGUGAAAUGCGUGGAGAUCUGGAGGAAUACCGGUGGCGAAGGCGGCCCCCUGGACGAAGACUGACGCUCAGGUGCGAAAGCGUGGGGAGCAAACAGGAUUAGAUACCCUUGUAGUC
rnacentral:rRNA from 1 species